CCUGACGUAGUCCAGCUGGCAGAAUUCCCGUCUGAUACGCGGGCGGUCGGAGGUUCAAAUCCUCCCGUCAGGA
rnacentral:tRNA from 3 species